GAUGAACGCUGGCGGCGUGCCUAAUACAUGCAAGUCGAGCGAACGGACGAGAAGCUUGCUUCUCUGAUGUUAGCGGCGGACGGGUGAGUAACACGUGGAUAACCUACCUAUAAGACUGGGAUAACUUCGGGAAACCGGAGCUAAUACCGGAUAAUAUUUUGAACCGCAUGGUUCAAAAGUGAAAGACGGUCUUGCUGUCACUUAUAGAUGGAUCCGCGCUGCAUUAGCUAGUUGGUAAGGUAACGGCUUACCAAGGCAACGAUGCAUAGCCGACCUGAGAGGGUGAUCGGCCACACUGGAACUGAGACACGGUCCAGACUCCUACGGGAGGCAGCAGUAGGGAAUCUUCCGCAAUGGGCGAAAGCCUGACGGAGCAACGCCGCGUGAGUGAUGAAGGUCUUCGGAUCGUAAAACUCUGUUAUUAGGGAAGAACAUAUGUGUAAGUAACUGUGCACAUCUUGACGGUACCUAAUCAGAAAGCCACGGCUAACUACGUGCCAGCAGCCGCGGUAAUACGUAGGUGGCAAGCGUUAUCCGGAAUUAUUGGGCGUAAAGCGCGCGUAGCGGUUUUUUAAGUCUGAUGUGAAAGCCCACGGCUCAACCGUGGAGGGUCAUUGGAAACUGGAAAACUUGAGUGCAGAAGAGGAAAGUGGAAUUCCAUGUGUAGCGGUGAAAUGCGCAGAGAUAUGGAGGAACACCAGUGGCGAAGGCGGCUUUCUGGUCUGUAACUGACGCUGAUGUGCGAAAGCGUGGGGAUCAAACAGGAUUAGAUACCCUGGUAGUCCACGCCGUAAACGAUGAGUGCUAAGUGUUAGGGGGUUUCCGCCCCUUAGUGCUGCAGCUAACGCAUUAAGCACUCCGCCUGGGGAGUACGACCGCAAGGUUGAAACUCAAAGGAAUUGACGGGGACCCGCACAAGCGGUGGAGCAUGUGGUUUAAUUCGAAGCAACGCGAAGAACCUUACCAAAUCUUGACAUCCUUUGACAACUCUAGAGAUAGAGCCUUCCCCUUCGGGGGACAAAGUGACAGGUGGUGCAUGGUUGUCGUCAGCUCGUGUCGUGAGAUGUUGGGUUAAGUCCCGCAACGAGCGCAACCCUUAAGCUUAGUUGCCAUCAUUAAGUUGGGCACUCUAAGUUGACUGCCGGUGACAAACCGGAGGAAGGUGGGGAUGACGUCAAAUCAUCAUGCCCCUUAUGAUUUGGGCUACACACGUGCUACAAUGGACAAUACAAAGGGCAGCGAAACCGCGAGGUCAAGCAAAUCCCAUAAAGUUGUUCUCAGUUCGGAUUGUAGUCUGCAACUCGACUACAUGAAGCUGGAAUCGCUAGUAAUCGUAGAUCAGCAUGCUACGGUGAAUACGUUCCCGGGUCU
rnacentral:rRNA from 1 species